rnacentral:rRNA from 1 species
UAGGGAAUCUUCCGCAAUGGACGAAAGUCUGACGGAGCAACGCCGCGUGAGUGAAGAAGGAUUUCGGUUCGUAAAACUCUGUUGUUAGGGAAGAAAAAAUGUAUAGUAACUAUAUACAAAAGAGACGGUACCUAACCAGAAAGCCACGGCUAACUACGUGCCAGCAGCCGCGGUAAUACGUAGGUGGCAAGCGUUGUCCGGAAUUAUUGGGCGUAAAGCGCGCGCAGGUGGUUUAGAAAGUCUGAUGUGAAAGCCCACGGCUCAACCGCGGAGGGUCAUUGGAAACUAAUAAACUUGAGUGCAGGAGAGAAAAGUGGAAUUCCUAGUGUAGCGGUGAAAUGCGUAGAGAUUAGGAGGAACACCGGUGGCGAAAGCGGCUUUUUGGCCUGCAACUGACACUGAGGCGCGAAAGCGUGGGGAGCAAACAGG